AUUACUUAUGGUCACUUGUUGAUAAGUUGUUAGAGCACUAUGCAUGUUAUUUUGUUUAUAUAUUCUUGUGCAAAGCAUACUUCUGUUACUAAAUUUUCUAUAACCUCCAAAAUGUCAAUGGAAUAGCUUUGAGUCCAUAUAAUUGUACAUGUUUUAAUUUUCCCACCCGAAACCACCCUGCUGUAAUAUGAAAGAAGUCAUGAGUAAUUUGGUGCACAAAUAAUGGUAGCACGCUGGUUUAGAACUGCAAAAAAGGCGUAGGAUAUACUGCUGGAAGAUUCUGAAAAAUACAGGGCAGGGAUAAUGAGAUUAUAUUAGAUCGCUUAGCAUUUCCGGCACUGCCCAAAAUUCUUGCUGGCGUAUUACUCCAAAUAUAUGGACUGGGCUGACAAAGUUUCUGUGCAACCAACUCCGGCUUCAAUGAGUUGCUUUGGGUGAUAGCUGGAUUUCUCCUGAAGAUUUUUGUGAGUUCUGGUGGCAGACAUAAAACAAAUUUCACAAAUGAUAUGAGUUAUCUCUCACUCUUUUCUCUUUAAGAUAAGAAGAAGGAGCUGGAAGAAGGAGAAGGAUGAUGCAGCUUUGCUGCAGCUGGAAGAAGGAGAAGGAUGACGUAGCUUUGUUGGAUCUGGAGAAAAAUGAAGAAAAUCUGGUAUUUGUGAACUGAGAAGGGCCUCGGGUGCUUGCUGGAGCUGGAAGAAGGAGAACGACGCCGCAACUUUGCUGGAUCUGGAAGAAAAUGAAGAUAAUCGGUAAUUUGUGAGCUGAGAAGGGAGAGGCAGAGAGCUGCGAAAAAAAAUGGAGGGCUCCAAUGGUCUCGUUGCAAAAGAAAGUGUAAUCUUCAAUAUUGAGGAAGGAGCUACCAAAACUUCUUGCAUUGUCUUCUGGUGUUCCUAACCAUCAGUCUUUAUAGAAUAUUUUUUUUUGUGUUUGUUUCUCGAAUUUACUCCUUGAUGCCUUGUUCUUCAUUGUCUCAUAUAUAUUGCAGUAAGAUUAAAUGCUUUCUUCUCUUGGAAAACUUAAAGAGCAAAUAAUAUUUGUAAGGAGAAGUCAGGUUGACUCAUGAUAAUCUUAUUUUUCUCAUUUUGAAAGAGAUUUGUGUGGAUAUUUAUGCACUUGAUGACCUUCAGCCAAGAUUCUUCCCCUAGAGUAUUUAGUUCCAUAUGGACUUUGGUGUAAUUUAGAUGACUAUUCACUGGAACGUUUGUCGAGUUGGUCCUUUGUUCAACUUAAAGAUAAAUCUGCUUAUUGGAUUCAUCACCUUGCUCUUUACUUAAUGGAUAUCAAUGCUCAUAAUGUUUUAAUCAUUAAAUCUUCUUUCCUUUUCUAGGUAAUACGACUGCGAAAGGCAUGUAGCCAUCCACACCUAUGUCCUAGUAUUGAGCCCGAACCAUUUGUAGAAGGUGAACACUUGGUUCAGGUAAGCCUUCUCAUCUAGGUUUUUUAGACAAAGGAUGAUGAAUGUGAAAUUGUAAUCUAUCUACAGCUUCUGAGUCUUCGACUUGUAUUUUCCUUCAAGCAUAUCAUAUUGUUCCUUUUCAACCAAAAUGUUGUUUUUAUGACUUCUUGAUCAAGCUAGCAGCAAACUUGUUAUUUUGGACCCACUACUUUGAUUGUAUGCUUUUAGGCAUUAUGUUCUUCUCUUUGCCCAGAUGACCCAUACGCUUGACAUUUUACAGGUUUGCUUUUUGAAUCUUAAUAAUGUUAAAAGUUUAUGUCUUCAGCUCAAGUGUUGAUGCUAGUUGAUUUUGACAACUAUAGGCACUACUUUUCACAUGCAAUGUAGGAUUUUUUAGAGUUAUGGACCUAUGAGCAUCUUGAUGGUCAGUUCGGGCUAAGGAGCAUUUAGUUGCUGCUAUAAGAAAUUUCAAUGCUUCUUUAUCUACGGGGAGACUCAAUUAUUAAGUUGAUGGAAAAUGAUCCAUAUGCUUGAUAUUUUACAGGUUUGCUUUUCGAAUCUUAAUGAUGUUAAAAGUUUAUGUCUUCAGCUUGAGUCCUGAUGCUAGUUGAUUUUGACAACUAUAGACACUACUUUUCACAUGCAAUGUAUGAUUUUUCAGCUGAUGGAAAUAAUACUGUUGUUUUUCUGAUCUCUAUCAAGAG